UACGUAGGGGGCAAGCGUUGUCCGGAAUCAUUGGGCGUAAAGCGCGCGUAGGCGGCCCGGUAAGUCCGUUGUGAAAGUCAAAGGCUCAACCUUUGAACGCCGAUGGAUACUGCCGGGCUAGAGUCCGGAAGAGGCGAGUGGAAUUCCUGGUGUAGCGGUGGAAUGCGCAGAUAUCAGGAGGAACACCGAUGGCGAAGGCAGCCCCCUGGGCUAACACUGACGCUCAGGCACGAAAGCGUGGGGAGCAAACAGG
rnacentral:rRNA from 1 species